GGCUGCGGCAUCAUCUGGCGCAGUCCAGUCAGGAUUGUAUGGGCAGCCCCGUGCGAGUGAGUUCGAGUAAAAUCAGUCGUCGCGGUUAUCCGCUGAAUAAGUGCGACGAGACGCGUCGAACGACGUAUUCCGAGAAUUACUUUCAAGGAUUGCUUUUGCGAAAUUAUUAGCAAUCUCAUUCCGAAUCUUGCGCCGAAAAGAUAUAUAUUGUGAACAACGUGAGGAAGUGCGCGUGAUAGUGCGGCGAUUAGGGUUGCUUGUCUUAAAGAUAGAAAGAUACCUUUGGAAGGCGAAUUGGUUUGUAGGAAAAUAGCUGAAUACGAAACUUGAGUUUGAACAGGUCGGUGGAACGAUGCGAUAUUGUUUGGAGUAAUGGAGACACCUCGAUCCGAGAAAUGUCACCUGGCCGGGGACAAGUGGUGAAAUAAUGGUAACACCAAGUGAAGUAAUAGAGCACGAGCGAGAAUGAAUAAUGUGUUCAGCCAUUUAUACACUUUCGCGUUUCCACUAAACAAAUCUUGGAGAGAAAUUAUUUUUGUAAUAGAAACAUUGCAAAUUGUUGUCACAGUAUUAGGAAAA